rnacentral:rRNA from 1 species
AUUAAGUCUCGUACGUGACCUGCGGAGGGAUCAUUA